rnacentral:rRNA from 1 species
GAUGAACGCUGGCGGCGUGCCUAAUACAUGCAAGUCGAGCGAACGGACGAGAAGCUUGCUUCUCUGAUGUUAGCGGCGGACGGGUGAGUAACACGUGGAUACCGACCUAUAAAACGGGGAAAAAUUCGGGAAACCGGGGGUAAAACCGGAAAAAAUUUUGGACCCAAAGGGUGAAAAGGGAAAGAAGGGCGUUGUGGCACGUAAAGGAGGAUCCGCGCUGCAUUAGCUAGGUGGUAAGGUAACGGCUUACCAAGGCAACGAUGCAUAGCCGACCUGAGAGGGUGAUCGGCCACACUGGAACUGAGACACGGUCCAGACUCCUACGGGAGGCAGCAGUAGGGAAUCUUCCGCAAUGGGCGAAAGCCUGACGGAGCAACGCCGCGUGAGUGAUGAAGGUCUUCGGAUCGUAAAACUCUGUUAUUAGGGAAGAACAUAUGUGUAAGUAACUGUGCACAUCUUGACGGUACCUAAUCAGAAAGCCACGGCUAACUACGUG